UAGUUGUUUAGCGAAAAUAGG
ensembl:piRNA 21ur-4989 ncRNA